GGCCUGGCGAAUGUACUAGGAUGGGUGACCCCCUGGGAAGUCCUCGUGUUGCACCC
rnacentral:rRNA from 1 species